AUUGAACGCUGGCGGCAGGCUUAACACAUGCAAGUCGAGCGGAGUGAUGGUGCUUGCACUAUCACUUAGCGGCGGACGGGUGAGUAAUGCUUAGGAAUCUGCCUAUUAGUGGGGGACAACAUCUCGAAAGGGAUGCUAAUACCGCAUACGUCCUACGGGAGAAAGCAGGGGAUCACUUGUGACCUUGCGCUAAUAGACGAGCCUAAGUCGGAUUAGCUAGUUGGUGGGGUAAAGGCCUACCAAGGCGACGAUCUGUAGCGGGUCUGAGAGGAUGAUCCGCCACACUGGGACUGAGACACGGCCCAGACUCCUACGGGAGGCAGCAGUGGGGGAUAUUGGACAAUGGGGGGAACCCUGAUCCAGCCAUGCCGCGUGUGUGAAGAAGGCCUUAUGGUUGUAAAGCACUUUAAGCGAGGAGGAGGCUCUUUUGGUUAAUACCCAAGAUGAGUGGACGUUACUCGCAGAAUAAGCACCGGCUAACUCUGUGCCAGCCGCCGCCGUAAAAC
rnacentral:rRNA from 1 species